rnacentral:rRNA from 1 species
AUACGGAGGGAGCGAGCGUUAAUCGGAAUUACUGGGCGUAAAGCGCGCGUAGGCGGCUUUGUAAGUCGGAUGUGAAAGCCCAGGGCUCAACCCUGGUAUUGCAUUCGAUACUGCAUGGCUAGAGUAUGGUAGAGGGAAGUGGAAUUUCCGGUGUAGCGGUGAAAUGCGUAGAUAUCGGAAGGAACACCAGUGGCGAAGGCGACUUCCUGGGCCAAUACUGACGCUGAGGUGCGAAAGCGUGGGGAGCAAACAGGAUUAGAAACCCCGGUAGUCC